GGUUACGACUUCGUAGAAGCCACCAUCUGUUACGCUUCAGAUCCGGCAACACCCUCUUACGCUUCAGCUCCGGCAACGACCUCCCACUUUCUUAAAUCAUUAAUUACCAACGUUGAGUAUUAUUGCCCUCAUCAUCACCGCACCUCCUCUGCCAUCAUCUCCUCACUUCUCAGAUUUUGGGCAUCGCUUACAAUCACGAAGGAGACUCUUUGACGAAUGACGGGUAACAAUUUCUCAAUUUCUCGUAUUAUAAAAAAGAAAAGUGAAAAAAAAGGAUAAAGAAACCCUAGAGAUCGAUCCCGAUGGGAGAGAGGUCGCCGGCGACGGACGAGGCUGCGGAUCGAGGGCUGAUGGAGGAGGCGACGAGGCUAGGGGAGCUCGCGUGGGAGCUUCAGGAGUCGGCGUCGUCGCUGAUCUCGAGAACGUUGAACUAGGAGCAGGGACUUUGGCAGCGGGCGCUUUCCCUAGAGUCCGAUCUCAGGAAGCUGAAGACCGCUGCCAAUUCCGCUAUCCGCAGGGGCGAAAUCGAUCGGAGGAAUGCUGAGAAGCUAGAUGAAGAAUUAUACCGUGCAAAAUGCCAUAUUUCAGAGGGGGAUGUGUCAUCUCUUCUUCCAAA